GUGAGAUCUGAGCACGUGUUGGCAUUGAAGUGUUUCAGGGAGAGGUUAUUUGGCAAUACUGACUAAGUGGUUGAAGGUUGUUGAUGAAUGGUUAGUUGUUCCUUUGUACCGAAGCUCGAACAAUGGCUUUCUGCCUUUAUCGUUGUCAAGAUCAAACUAAUGUCCUUUUGCUGGAGACCGUAUUUAGUAUUUUGUUUGGUUCACUCUUUGUUCUAAACAGUAUACACUCUUUGUUCUAAACAGUCAUGUAAUGUUUAAGUGUCGAUGUCAUGGUGUUAUGUGAUAUUAGCUUGUCGCUCCUUAUCGUCAAGAUCAAACCUAUAAUGAAUUGUUUGUCACGGAUCUUAUUUAGCAUUUGUUUGUUAUUUGCUUA